rnacentral:rRNA from 1 species
AUAGAGUACUAGAGUUUGAUCCAGUGCUCAGCCUGAACGCUGGCGGCGUGGCUAAGACAUGCAAGUCGCACGGACGUAGCAAUACGUUAGUGGCGAACGGGUGAGUAAUGAAUCGCUAAUGUACCCCGGACUCUGGGAUAGCCAUCCGAAAGGAUGGGUAAUACCAGAUGAUAUGACCGCUCCGCAUGGAGUGGUUCUCAAAGGUCCGCCGGUCUGGGAGCAGGCGAUUUCGUAUCAGCUAGUUGGUGAGGUAACGGCUCACCAAGGCGACGACGCGUAGCCGGACUGAGAGGUUGGCCGGCCACAUUGGGACUGAGACACUGCCCAGACUCCUACGGGGGCUGCAGUAACGAAUCUUCCGCAAUGUACGCAAGUAUGACGGAGCGACGCCGCGUGUAGGACGAAGCCCUUCGGGGUGUAAACUACUGUCAGGGGUUAGAAAGUUCUGAUCGACCCCAGAGGAAGGCACGGCUAACUCUGUGCCAGCAGCCGCGGUAA